UUUGUACACAUAUUUGCUUACAAACUGCGAAGACGUUCUUGAAUAUGAGAGUAUUUACUUGGCAGAGAUGCGCUUAAAGUACCCGGAUGCGACCGAAAAACAACUCGAACAACUCAAGCAAAACAACUUUGCAACAUGGCUUUCUGAUUAUGUAAGCCAUUGUUUAGCUAUUGGGCACCCACCUAAAGAUUGGUUACGUGAGAUAGUUUGUGGUCCAAAGUUUGUUGCGAAGUCAGAUCCGAGA